CAUUAAAUAGCUAAAAUGCUAGCAUUGGUCUCUUAAACCACUUAAUAGUAGUUUUGCACCUACUUUUAAUG
rnacentral:tRNA from 1 species